AUACUUACCUGGCAGGGGAGAUACCGUGAUCACAAAGCUAGUUUCCCCCCGGCGAGGCUCAUCCAUUGCUCUCCGAAUGUGCUGACGCCUACAAUUUCCCCAAAUGUGGGAAACUCGACUGCAUGAUAAUUUGUGGUAAUGGGGGUCUACAUUCAUGUUUUCCCAUG
rnacentral:snRNA from 1 species